GGAGUUAGCCGGUGCUUCUUCUGCGAGUAACGUCACAGAUGUAAGGUAUUAACUUACACCCUUUCCUCCUCGCUGAAAGUGCUUUACAACCCGAAGGCCUUCUUCACACACGCGGCAUGGCUGCAUCAGGGUUUCCCCCAUUGUGCAAUAUUCCCCACUGCUGCCUCCCGUAGGAGUCUGGGCCGUGUCUCAGUCCCAGUGUGGCUGAUCAUCCUCUCAGACCAUCUAGGGAUCGUCGCCUAGGUGAGCCUUUACCUCACCUACUAGCUAAUCCCACCUGGGCUUAUCCAUCAGCGCAAGGCCCGAAGGUCCCCUGCUUUCCCCCGUAGGGCGUAUGCGGUAUUAGCAGUCGUUUCCAACUGUUAUCCCCCACAAAUGGGCAAAUUCCCAGGCAUUACUCACCCGUCCGCCGCUCGUCAUCUUCAAAAGCAAGCUUUUAGAAAUGUUACCGCUCGACUUGCAUGUGUUAGGCCUGCCGCCAGCGUUCAAUCUGAACCAAGAUCAAAUUCUGA
rnacentral:rRNA from 1 species